GACGAACGCUGGCGGCGUGCUUAACACAUGCAAGUCGAACGGAAAGGCCCUGCUUUUGUGGGGUGCUCGAGUGGCGAACGGGUGAGUAACACGUGAGUAACCUGCCCUUGACUUUGGGAUAACUUCAGGAAACUGGGGCUAAUACCGGAUAGGAGCUCCUGCUGCAUGGUGGGGGUUGGAAAGUUUCGGCGGUUGGGGAUGGACUCGCGGCUUAUCAGCUUGUUGGUGGGGUAGUGGCUUACCAAGGCUUUGACGGGUAGCCGGCCUGAGAGGGUGACCGGCCACAUUGGACUGAGAUACGGCCCAGACUCCUACGGGAGGCAGCAGUGGGGAAUAUUGCACAAUGGGCGGAAGCCUGAUGCAGCAACGCCGCGUGCGGGAUGACGGCCUUCGGGUGGUAAACCGCUUUCGCCUGUGACGAAGCGUGAGUGACGGUAAUGGGUAAAGAAGCACCGGCUAACUACGU
rnacentral:rRNA from 1 species